GUGGGGAAUAUUGGUCAAUGGCCGAGAGGCUGAACCAGCCAUGCCGCGUGCGGGAGGACGGCCCUAUGGGUUGUAAACCGCUUUUGUUGGGGAGCAAUAAGGAGCACGUGUGCUUCGAUGAGAGUACCCAGCGAAUAAGCAUCGGCUAACUCCGUGCCAGCAGCCGCGGUAAUACGGAGGAUGCAAGCGUUAUCCGGAUUUAUUGGGUUUAAAGGGUGCGUAGGCGGGUUCUUAAGCGUGAGGUGAAAUGCCACGGCUCAACCGUGGAACUGCCUCGCGAACUGGGAGUCUGGAAUGCCCCUGCCGUGGGAGGAAUGUGUGGUGUAGCGGUGAAAUGCAUAGAGAUCACACAGAACACCGAUUGCGAAGGCAUCUCACGAAGGGGUGAUUGACGCUGAGGCACGAAAGCGUGGGGAUCAAACAGG
rnacentral:rRNA from 1 species